rnacentral:rRNA from 1 species
GACGAACGCUGGCGGCGUGCUUAACACAUGCAAGUCGAACGCUGAAGCUCAGCUUUUGUUGGGUGGAUGAGUGGCGAACGGGUGAGUAACACGUGAGUAACCUGCCUCCUUCUUUGGGAUAACGCCCGGAAACGGGUGCUAAUACUGGAUAUUCACUGGUCUUCGCAUGGGGGUUGGUGGAAAGGGUUUUUCUGGUGGGGGAUGGGCUCGCGGCCUAUCAGCUUGUUGGUGGGGUGAUGGCCUACCAAGGCUUUGACGGGUAGCCGGCCUGAGAGGGUGACCGGUCACAUAGGGACUGUGCUACGGCCCAGACUCCUACGGGAGGCAGCAGUGGGGAAUAUUGCACAAUGGGCGCAAGCCUGAUGCAGCGACGCCGCGUGAGGGAUGGAGGCCUUCGGGUUGUGAACCUCUUUCGCUCAUGGUCAAGCCGCAACAAUGGUUGUGGUGAGGGUAGUGGGUAAAGAAGCGCCGGCUAACUACGUG